rnacentral:rRNA from 1 species
GAUGAACGCUGGCGGCGUGCCUAAUACAUGCAAGUAGAACGCUGAAGGAGGAGCUUGCUCUUCUGGAUGAGUUGCGAACGGGUGAGUAACGCGUAGGUAACCUGCCUGGUAGCGGGGGAUAACUAUUGGAAACGAUAGCUAAUACCGCAUGACAACAGUUAUUGCAUGAUAACUGUUUAAAAGGGGCAACUGCUCCACUACCAGAUGGACCUGCGUUGUAUUAGCUAGUUGGUGAGGUAACGGCUCACCAAGGCGACGAUACAUAGUCGACCUGAGAGGGUGAUCGGCCACACUGGGACUGAGACACGGCCCAGACUCCUACGGGAGGCAGCAGUAGGGAAUCUUCGGCAAUGGACGGAAGUCUGACCGAGCAACGCCGCGUGAGUGAAGAAGGUUUUCGGAUCGUAAAGCUCUGUUGUAAGAGAAGAGCGAGUGUGAGAGUGGAAAGUUCACACUGUGACGGUAUCUUACCAGAAAGGGACGGCUAACUACGUG